rnacentral:rRNA from 1 species
UGGGGAAUUUUGGACAAUGGGGGCAACCCUGAUCCAGCCAUCCCGCGUGUGCGAUGAAGGCCUUCGGGUUGUAAAGCACUUUUGGCAGGGAAGAAACAGCCUGGGCUAAUAUCCCGGGCGACUGACGGUACCUGCAGAAUAAGCACCGGCUAACUACGUGCCAGCAGCCGCGGUAAUACGUAGGGUGCAAGCGUUAAUCGGAGUUACUGGGCGUAAAGCGUGCGCAGGCGGUUUCGUAAGACAGACGUGAAAUCCCCGGGCUCAACCUGGGAACGGCGUUUGUGACUGCGAGGCUAGAGUACGGCAGAGGGGGGUAGAAUUCCACGUGUAGCAGUGAAAUGCGUAGAGAUGUGGAGGAAUACCGAUGGCGAAGGCAGCCCCCUGGGUUAGUACUGACGCUCAUGCACGAAAGCGUGGGGAGCAAACA